GACGUAGGGGACGAGCGUUGUCCGGAUUCAUUGGGCGUAAAGCGCGCGUAGGCGGUUUGGUAAGUCGGAUGUGAAAACACGAGGCUCAACCUCGUGCGUGCAUCCGAUACUGCCCGACUAGAGGUAGGUAGGGGAGAUCGGAAUUCCUGGUGUAGCGGUGAAAUGCGCAGAUAUCAGGAGGAACACCGAUGGCGAAGGCAGGUCUCUGGGCCACUACUGACGCUGAGAAGCGAAAGCAUGGGGAGCGAACAGG
rnacentral:rRNA from 1 species